AGGAGAGAAAAGAGGAGAGGAGAGAAGAGAAGAGGAGAGAAGAGAAGGGAAGGGAAGUAUUAUAGCAGCUAAAGAAUCAUGGGUAAGGCCAAAAUGCACGCCUUAAACACUCGCGGACUAUGAUUUGAACCUACUCUACGUCUCUCUCAUCCAUAAACCUGAAGAAUGCACCCAAUAAGCCACCUUGUAAUUUUAUCUAUACAAGGUGAUUCUUAUAGAAAAAUAAGCAAUCCAGCUUAUGGUUUUAAAGCUUUACUUAGUCUUUGAAUCUGGUUAUAAAUUAUAGCCUUUGAGCAUGUAACUUGCAAGAGCCACAAAAGCACACAGCUAUUGUUAGGACACGCGACUCUUUCUCGAAGGUUGCACCCUGGUACUGCCUUUGAGAGGGCACAGCCUUUCCCUCAGUAAACCCCAGUGUUGCUUUAGGUUAUCCUCUCCUGAAACUGUCUGCCGCCGUGCAAAUGCGGAGGCCCCCUCCACCUGAGUGCAGGGAACCCUGGGAACCGAUAGGAACUCCUUAGGUGACUUCUCACCCUGACAGUGCUGCAUCUGAUGCUUAGGUACAAUGCUUCAUCUAAAUAACUGAAGAUACCCCUAGCUAGGGUUGGCAUUAUCAACUGCAGUUUUAAAUAGGGAGACUAAAGAGAAGAACAGAGCUGGCUGGCCUAGGAUCCUCCAGACAAGAAGCCUAAGAAGGCUGCAUCUGUCUUUUAAAACUGCAGGCCCAGAGGCAGUGCCAUGGUCUCACCUCUACACAGGGGAUGCUAUGCUUUCGUUUCCCUUUGGUUCAUGUUUCUCCAGCACAAGUCUGAGAGGGAUGCACUGCUGCCCAGGCUGGGUACCUAAGCCAGUUGGCAAGUCUAUUCUAUGGCACCCCUCCCCCACAUCCUAUUCCAGCUCACUGUGCACCUUGCUUCUCUCCUAGGUCCCAAUAAAUGUCUUCUUAAAGUCCUAUCAGGGUCAUUUUCUUCUAGCAAUUCUUUUAUUUGGAGGAGCAAAAUACAAAGGCCAAAAGGGAUUGCACACCUCCCUGUUCCACCCCCUCACCAUAGUUGGUAGCACUGAGAUCUAGCACCAAGCCCUGAUGAGUGGCCCAUGAUGGAUGCUUAGACCAGCCAUGGCUGUAUUACCAUAGCAACUAAUAAUGCAGCUGCUGCUUGUGGGACCUUGUCAAUGACACUGCUAUGCCACUCUGGCUGUUUAUACCCAGUGAAACAAUUUUCCUAAGGUCAGUGACUUGCAUGGCACUUCCAGACAACGCUGUUCUCAUCCUCCCCCAUCUACAGACUUCAAACUGAUGAGAACUCUUGCCUCCUUUCUGUGGAUAAUGGCCAAGUGAGUCUCCCCCAGUGACACAGCCAUGGAAGACGUAGCUCGCAUUCCUUAAUGUACUUUUUGUGCCUUCCUCGGAAGAAGUUAUCAGUAGGCUCUGCUUCUCAUGUACUCAUGGAGAGAUAAGGGAGGAACGAUUAAAAAAGAAUAAAUGGGGAAGACCGUCUGUCUGUGGGCCAAACUUCUGGUAAAAGUGUAUUGUGAACUACGUGUGGGUUGUGCAUGCAAAGAGAGCUCCCAUUGCUAGAAGGAGCUGAAUGACAGGGGAGAACUUGCCUUGAUGCCUUGGUGUGUGGCUGGUUCCAUGUUAGAUCUGCCUAUGAGCAUUAGUCCUUUUAGUCCCCACAAUAAUCCCGAGAUGACCGAUGUGCCCAUUUUUAUACACUAGGAAACUGAGCAUGAUGACAGCCCUAAGAGCUCACAGUUGAUACAGAGUCGGCAGACAAAUCUGAACAGCCCGAACGAAGGCCAGCAGGCCAAGCUUGCCACUCGACUCUCCAAGUUCAGGAGUACACACACACACACACACACACACACAAGUACAGCACAAGGUCCUACACUGCAAGCUCUGGUUUGGCACUAAUGUACCCCCCUUGAGUUCCUCUCCUUUCCUGGAAGCUUCUUAAACAUUCAUUAUGCUCUUUACGGCCUUUUUUUUUUUCCCCCUUUCUCAGCCUCUCCAGUCUCUCAGGCAAAUGUGCAUUCACACAUUUUCACGGUGCAUUAUUUUGCCCGCUAAAUAUGCGUUGAACACAAGAUGCUGUCACUGAAAGCGGCAUGGCGGGCCGGCAGGAUCCACAAUGUCAUUCUGGAGGCCCUACUGGGACCCAUCACAUUGGCCCUGCCGGUUUGGCAAUCACUUCUCGGCUGUUCGAAGAGCUUGAGUGAGACCUUUAAAUGUCUCUUUUGGGUUUCUCCUAGGGAAUUUGCUGUUACAACUGUCAGAGACUGACAGCAGCAGUCAACGAGAAAAUGUGUAGAGAAGUCACUUGCAGCUUAUGAUAUACACAUAGGGACCUGCUGCCUAGAGUAUCUACCCUGUCUCGUUAAGUCAAGCCUAAUCAAAGAUCCUAGCAUGCUUAGAGAAGGGGGAGGGCAGAGUAUCAAGUGGAAAAACUCCAAACUGGACCCCAGGGGGACAGCAAAACGGGACUUUUGAGCUUGCAUUGUAGGGGGUGUGUCCAUUCAAAUGCAUUUUUCUGUCUGAUCAGGGACCCUUCUUCUGGGUCAGUUGAACAGGGAAUCUAAAUAGGUAUAUGUACUAUCUCAGGGCAAUCUUGAAAUCAUCUGUUUCUCAUUUUUGGCAUAACCCAGUCAAAAUCUUUCCUCAAGAAGCUGCCCCCUGCACAGCCUUGACACCACUUCUUUGGCGGUCACUCUUAUCUCUUGAACCACAGCGCAGAUCUAUCUGACUGCAGGUCACAAAAGAAGAGAAAUAACAAGUUUGUUUGACAGGUCAGACAAGUGGAAAAGCAGAUAGGAUGGGAAGAAAUAUACUCAUUUCAAGGAGUCCAGUAGACCCCAAGGGAGCGACACCACCACCAUGCCAUGGUCCUUACCAAAAGGAAGAUGCGAGGUUCAAGCUGAAGGUGGAAUACAGUAUUGGAAGCACCAAACCUGGUUGUAAGACUUGCUUCAGGUGGCCUCCUUAUGUCUCACAACAAUACUUUGAGGACCUGGAUGUUGGACCUGGAUGCACCAUGUAGUUAAGGAUGAUCUUGAUCUCUGGAUCCUUUUGCCAUCACUAUAUCUCAAGAGAUGCGAUUAUAGGCUUGUGCCACUGUGUCUGGCCUAUUGCAACCCACGGAUGUUGCCUGCACAGAAAACAUUAGCAGAAGCUUCAGAUUGCUCCAGAGGACAUUAUUUCUUGUAUAUUGGCAAAAGCAACACACAUGCUCUCUAACCUGUUCCCAGCCUCUCCAGCGGAUUCUGCCUGAGGAGCAAGGUAAUCAGCUCCUGAGCGUCUGGAGGAGGGGCCUCGUCCUUUUCAGGCCAGUUGAUUUCAUCUGCAAGGAAGAGAAGAUGUCUACAGCUUUAUUGUUCAAAGGGCAGAACCAUGGGCCCCCAUCCCAGAAACACGGAGACCAAACCUACAUUUAAAAUCUUUAGUUGACUUCUAUGUGGUAUAAGAUAAUACUUAUAUUAUUAUCUUAUAGGGCCCGGACAGCCCGGUUUCUUCAAGGUCUAUUUCAAGAAACUAUUUCAAUAAACUGGACCAUUCGUUCA